rnacentral:lncRNA from 1 species
ACUCCCCGAAGGCUUCUCAGCUCUAGCAGGAAGCCUCCAGGCCGCAACUCCUUCCCAUUCUCCCUUCUGUCUCCAAAGAUCUCCCCACGUAGGCACCAAAUGGAAGGACCCCCGCCCAAGGCCUUUGUCUCCAGCUGAUAGAUUCUGCUCCAUUUCUGGCAUCAGUGAAACGCCUGAACAUUCCACAGCCCAAAGCCGAACACUAUGCAUGAGAUAAACUUACCUCAAGCUCCACUGCCUCUGCUUUGGACAGAUUUAGGACCACAGCCGGGAAAAAUGUUGGAGACCCCGGAACCGCCAUGAACAGCCCCCACCAAGGAGCGGCACUUCCGGCCCCGCCCGCUACGUAAUCAGUCGGCGCCCCAGGCGCCUGAGUCCCCGCCCCGGCCACGUGGGCCUCCGAACCACGAGUCAUGCGGCAGGCCGCACCCAGACCCGCCCCUCCCACACGGGACGUUUCAAUAAUGAAAGCGCUAGGUGCUAGUGUCUCAAAAAUCAGUAAAACUUUAUUCGCUUCCAUUCUUUCGCCAUUAACAGAAAACUGGAGAAAGCAAAAAUGUUUCGUGUUUACAAAGAUAAACGGCCUCUUUACCCAGAGAUCAAAACCUCAAACGACAAGGGGGAAGAUAAAACCGCCCUCCCCCACAUCCCCUGAGCUGACCCUUGUCAUCUUAGACAAAGCCUUCAGUCCACUGGCCAGGGACCCUGUAUAUGGCCAAUUCAAGAAGAGGGCCAAGAAAUCAGACCCAUCCAUUCCCGUGAUAUAAAGUUGAACAGAAGCUACACCAAGGGUCAAGUGUCUGUAUUUUACAGGACACAGUAACCAGGCGGCUACUUAUAAAAAAAAACAAGAUUCAUUUCAGGCACAACUUUUUUAUUUUUUUUUGUUUUGUUUUUAAAUCAGUAAAAGAAACCGGGUCCUAGAAGCUGCAGUGAUCUAAGCAGCAGCAAGUUUGUGCAUUCAUUUUUUUUGUUUUUGUUUAAAUAUGUUUAAAUUAUCACACUGCUGGCACUCCUCAUUUGCAUGAAAUUCUGCACCAUACUUACUAAUUGUAGUAAAGUUACCCCCCAACCCACGAAAAAAAACCUACUCUGGAAGAAAAUUUUCACUGAAAUAUAACCAAACUUCUUUAAGUGGAUUGUGACAAGAUUAUAAAUGAUAUGAAAAAUAACAUUUUAAAAUUUGGCCAUCAACUUUAAGAAAUGGUUUGCCUAUACAAAUUUUUGUAAUUUUUAAAAGAUAAUAUAUUCUACCCUCAUAUGGUCCUCAGAAUUAAAGCAUAAUGAACAGGAAGAAAAAGGAAAAGAAUGCAACUGAGUGCUAAGGCAGAACAUCUUGCCAGAAGUAAUUAAUGAAGGUAGAGUAUAUAAUGAAAAGUGCAGAAUUUCAUAGGGCCAACAAGAUAACAGUCUAUAUUUUUCACUUACACAGGCAAAGUGGAUUCUGCAAUUACCAGUUGCGUUAAAUGCACCAAAUAAAGCUCCUAAAAUUGAUACUAUAAGGCGCCACCUUAAGUUUUUCCAGGCUGCAACUGUGCAUUAUUUAAAAUGGUUUUCUUAAAUUUAUUUAUUUUUUUAAACAUAACACGAGGAAGGUGUUAAAACUGGUGUAAUAGCUCAAUAGAAUAAGUAUUCCAGAUUUCGGGAGGGAUGAAGAGGGAGAUAUUCAGAACCCUUCACCAGAUUCCCCCCAACUUGAUCAUAGUGGAUUAAUGGUGUGCUUUGUGGAUGUGGUUAGUCAAUGACACCAGCUUGACGGAUCUUUCUUUCUGCACCAAACCCCUGUGGGGGGGAGAAAAAAAAAACCCUGCAGUUAAUGAUUUGAGCGCACAACAAUCAUAGUACAUUCACUAUUCCGAAAUGAAACUACAAAAGCAUUAUUUUUAAUCAUCUUAUGCAGUACUAAUUCUUUCCUAGAGGAGAAAAUCCACAGUAAGCACUCCUGACCCAUUCAUUACCUAAACUGUCUUCAAAGCAUCAAGAAAAGAAAUGUGCUUCUUACUGUAAGCAACCAUUAGGUUAGGGGGCUGAACCAAUGUGUAGAAAGUCCUAACUAGUUAUAAGCAAUAUGGAAGUCUCCCUGCUUCAUUAAGUUUCCUGACCUAUUGUUUAAAUAGGACCACAUAUUUUAUGUUGGUCUAUCAGUUGGCCUCCCCCAAGCCUUGUAUGCCCUCAUACCAUUGAGUUAUCUGGUCCCCUUGGCUGACGAAGAACCAUUAGGCGAGGAGCACUGGCAUCAUCCAGAGUGAUAUUCUUCAAGCGAUUGACCAACCGAUCAGGUCGAGGAGCUGCAACAGCCUUGGGGCCCUCACUGUAAUUAAGUCAAAAGAUGAGAAGAAACCACACUUGGUGGGCAGACAGCAAGCACUUGCAAAGGAGUGUGUUUUCCACCUAACUGCCCAAAUGACUCACUUUUUAUGAUGGGACUCUUGCCUCAUAUACCUAGCUAGAAAGACAGGACAGACAAGUUUGUUUAUGUAUUAUUAUCCCCAACUCAAGGUCCCAACUUAAUAGGAAUGGAAGGAAUCAUUUGCAGACCCUAGACUUGAAUGCAAUCAAGAGUGACCAGUUCCACAGAUGCAUAAAAAAACAAGGUAGCAGAUGUGGUAGCUAACACCUGUAAUCCCAGCGCUUUGAGAGGACAGGGCAGGAGGAACACUUGAGCCCAGAAGUUCGAGAUCAGCCUGGGCAAAACAGUGGGACCAUGUCUCUACAAAAAAUAAAAUUGGCUGCAUGUGGUGGCGCAUGCUUGUAGUCCCAGCUACUGGGGAAGCUGACGUGGGAGAAUUGCUUAGGCCCAGGGGGUUGAGUCUGCAGUGAGUCGUGAUAGCGCCUGGGUAACCGAAUCAGACUGUGAGACUGUCUCUGGGGAAGCAAAGCGGCAUUAUGAAUCAGCAUGGCUAAACUAUUAGAAUUUUAAGUAGCAUAUAACCUAGAAAUGACUUAAUGGAAGAAGAAGAAUUUGGCAAAAAUUUUAAAAAACAUGUACUAAACAAUCUUUUUGUAUUCAACUAGAAGUAGGAAGUAUCAAGAAAUAAUAAGUGGCAGAAGACAAGGCACAGAAAAGUGAUGUGACAAAACAGAGACUAUAAAGUUGAGACACUCCAGGGUAGUUACUAAUCAAACCACAACAACAAAACUCACCAGACUCGCCAAACAUUACAGGCGCUGCACUUGCCAGUGCGCUGAUUAAGAAUCACUGAGAACUCCACCUCAUCUCCUGCCUGUAGCUCAAUGCCAUCCUGAACUUCUUUCACAUGGAAAAAGAGCUUCUUGCUAUCUCCUACUUCAUAGUUAAUGAAGCCAAACUGAAAAAAAAAAGUAGGUAAAAAAGAGAGGGCAUGCCACACCUCACUCUGAAUGAAGCACAAUGCCUGCCCCUAUCUAAAAGGAUGUAUAAAACAUGGUAUUAAUGUUGAUACUCCAGUCCAGCUGCCUGUGGCAAAACCUGUCAGGGAAGAAAUGUAUCUCUGAAAGUGCCAUUCACUAUAUCACAAACUUGAACCAAACAAAUAAAACUUGCCUUGUUCCUUCGUAUAUUAUGAACUAAGCUUUUUGAAUUAAGCAAACUCAUCAGGAAGCUGUUACUUCAACAUAUAUAUUGUUUGGAUCCCCUCUAGAAUUAAGCUGGGUUAUAGUAGCAGCCAUACAAAAUGUUAUUAUUCUCUGUACUGAUGAAAAACAUUCUGAGGACUCAGAUUUCCCUGAGAUCUCAGGAGUAAGACUAAGUUUGUUUGCCCUAAGCUUAUUUUUUAAGUACUUUUGAACGUGGUUUCUGUGUUUGUGUGAUAUGCAAAAGAAGCUCUAAGCAAAAGUGUACAAAACCAUAUAGUCCUUCUAUUCUGGAAAUCUCACCCCUAACUUAUUUUCCCCAUUGCAUAAUAUUAGUUACUAAUACCAAUCUUACUUUCUCAUUGCUAAUAUAGUCACUUUUUGUGUAGUUUUCUGUUUUUAUUAAGCUACCUCAAAUGACUGAAAAAAGGUGAAGUAGAAAUAAAAAAACGAAUGAAUGUUGAUGAUUUCCCCUUGGCUGAAAAUAUUUGAAGGUUUUGGUUACCAACUCAUAGAAGGAUCAAAUUCAGAUACAGAGAUGCUGGCACUUACCUGAUCUUUCACACAUUCCACUGUGGCCCUGCGCAGGGGUGUGAUGUUGUAAGCCAUAGUUUGUGCAUUUUGGCCCAGGACACACAAUUGGAACUUGACGCUCUCCCCUUUCUGCAGGCAAUCCCCUUUGUUGGCCAUCCCAACGAUGCCAAAUGGAUAGACCUCACCUUUCAUAUCGCCUGUAAAACAGGUACAAAGUCUAAAAGCUAGUAUUUCACAACAGUCCUCUGCUGAUGACCCUAGGAAGUUUAUAUAACUGCUAAAAAUGUGUUAUGUUACUUAAAAUAUAUUUACAUUUUCAGUACUCAGAAGUUUCACCUUAAAGCUUAAAUGAAAUCCUAAAUGUUAAAUACUACCAUGGAACCAAAUGAGAAUGUCACAGCUCCCAUCAGUACUUUAUUAGCUGAUGAACAAUUUUAAACUGCAUUUAUAAAUUAAAACAAAAAAUACUGUCAUUUACAAUCCCAUUGCCUAAAUUUUAAGCACUAUGGGUUGCCAAUAUUCACAGGACUAUCUUCUUCCCAAGUUCACAAUAUGAGCCAACCAAAAAUACUUUUGUCCCAUACUCAAUGAGCCAGUAAACAACUAGGCGGGCACAGGCAAAAACAAUUUAGAUAAAUUUGACACCCCACCUCCUUUUUUUUUGUUCGAAUUCUGGCUCCCUCACAUAGGUUCCUUUUUCCAGAUCAGAGACCAAAAACCAUUUUCCUAAAGGGCCGGAGAGUAUUAUUUUAGGUUUGCAAGUCAUCCUGUCUAACCAACUCUGCUGUUGUAGUGAGAAAGCAACGAAAAACAAUAUGUAAACAAAUGGUUGUGGCUGUGAUCACAAGAAAAGGCCACCAUAUAUGCUGAGCCCUGCCCUACAGUAUGAAGUUGCCUGGAGCCCGGUGCAGGCUACAGAUAAAAACUAUGCCAAAGAAUUCAGCUGCCUAACAAUUUUCAGCAUCCAGGCAAAUGUACUCAGUCAACAAUAGUGGAAAACAUGAGAAAAACAGGUGGGAAGCAGAAGCUUCUAACCAUCCUCUUGAUGAUUACAGGGUAAGUGAAGAAUUUUUGUCAUUGUUAUUGUUGAGACAGGGUCUCGCUCUGCUACCCAGGCUGGAGUGCAGUGGCGAUCAACGGCUCACUGCAGCCUUGAUUUCCUGGGCUCGGGUGAUCCUCCCACCUCAGCUCCUGAGUCGCUGGGACUACAGGCACACACCAUGACUGGCUAAUUUUUGCAUUUUUUGUAGAGACAGGGUUUUGCCAUGUUGCCCAGGCUGGUCUCAAACUCCUGGGCUCAAGUGAUCUGCCCACCUUGGCCUCCCGAAGUGUUGGGUUUACAGGUGUGAGCCACCACACCUGACUUUUUUUUUUUUUUUUGAGACGGAGUCAUGCUCUGUUAACCAGGCUGGAGUUCAGUGGCAUGAUUCAGCUCACUGCAACUUCCGCCUCCCAGGUUCAAGUGAUUCUCCUGCCUCAGCCUCUGAAGUAGCUGGGAUUAUAGGCACCCACCAUGAUACCUGGCUAAUUUUUGUAUUUUUAGGAGAGACAGGGUUUCGCCAUGUUGGCCAGGCUGGUCUCGAACUCCUGACCUUCAGGUGAUCUGCCUGCCUUGGCUUCCCAAAGUGCUGGGAUUACAGGUGUGAGCCCCUACUCUCGACCCCAGCUGACUUUUAAUUUUAAAUACAGGAACCAAAAAACUUUGAGGAGAUAAUCCAAAGAGAUCAAGUCAUGGGAAGAGUGAUUAGAGGAAGCUGGUCUGACCUCAUGCAAUAUCAAUAAUUACCAUUUAUGAUGCACAUACUGAUUCAUACUUUAUAGAACCAUCUAAGGCUGAAGGUAUUACCAUUUUAAAGAUGAAGAAACUGAGCUAGCAAAGAUUUAAGUUAUUUGUCCAAGAUUAUAUGCUAGAACGGUGUCCAGAUCUAGGUCUGCCCAACUUCAAAGUCUUAGUAUAAGUUACAGUUGUGUUCCUGAAUAAAAGAGCUAGUUCU